UGCCGUAAACGAUACUCGCUAGGUGUCGGCCACGGUGCGACCGUUGUCGGUGCCGUAGGGAAGCCGUGAAGCGAGCCACCUGGGAAGUACGGCCGCAAGGCUGAAACUUAAAGGAAUUGGCGGGGGAGCACCAACAACGGGUGGAGCUUGCGGUUUAAUUGGAUUCAACGCCGGAAAUCUUACCGGGACCGACAGCAACAUGAAGGCCAAGGCUGAAGACUUUGCCGGAUUAGCUGAGAGGUGGUGCAUGGCGUAGUCGUGU
rnacentral:rRNA from 1 species